AGUCACCUGGUGACCUCAUUAAGAACCAGGAUGAAUCUGCUGUGAUCAUAUGUACACACAAUUUAUCAAACUAUGACCGUAUUCUUUGAUGAAAAAAGGCCAUCAUGGGCUUCAAGUUCAAGGGGUUUCUUAAUCUCAUAUAUGACAACCCUGAGUUGGAAUUUAAAAACAAGAUCAAACUUGAUGGAGUAAUGUUUCAGUGAUGUAAGUGCUCAGUUUAUGCAGUUCAGUAAAGCUGACGAGAACAAUAAAAAGUAAAAUAAGUUCAAGUUCUGUUGUUAAUGGCAGUGUUAAUCAAAGCCCCUCAAAUCUAAUUAAAUCUGAGAGAGACAAUGCAGAACUUGUAUGCGAAUACAACAUACCAUCUUACACUAGGAUUUUCUGGUACAAACAAACACUUGGCCAUGACUUCAUAUUCCUUGGAUAUAUCUGGAAUAAGAAUUCUUACCCAG
ensembl:lncRNA